CGGGCGAGGUCUCUGGUUCAAGUCCAGGAUGGCCC
rnacentral:tRNA from 2 species